UGCCACUAUAAUACAUGUUCUUGAUUGCGACGGGAUUGUGUGUUCUUAUGAUCUGAUGUUCAGAGAAGUUUCGAAGUUACUACCAAGUAUCACCGAUCAGUUGGAGGAACAGUGCAGAUUGCAGUGCAAGUCUUUGAGAUGAGAGUGACCCAAGUGACAAGCCACUGAAAGAGAGGAAGAAGCAGCCUGAAGCUUUUUUUUUUUGGAUCAUUCAAAAUAGGAAUUGCGAGAAUGGGUGUGCAUUGUGGAAGUCACACGGCCGACAAGAACCCAAAAGAAAUGUAAAUUUGAAGAAGCCACAUCCAAGACCACGACUUGACAGCAUGCGCUUCCAUGGACCUCUCGGAAGCUGCACAAUCACACUAAAAACACAUAGGCACAUAGCCAACUCAUGACAUGGAAUAAGCAUUGUGUUCACAGGUAUUUCAGUACCAGA